UACCAGCACCCCGAGUGGUCGGGACGUUUAUUGGGCCUAAAGCAUCCGUAGCCGGUUCUACAAGUCUUCCGUUAAAUCCAACUGCUUAACAGGUGGGCUGCGGAAGAUACUAUAGAGCUAGGAGGCGGGAGAGGCAAGCGGUACUCGAUGGGUAGGGGUAAAAUCCGUUGAUCCAUUGAAGACCACCAGUGGCGAAGGCGGCUUGCCAGAACGCGCUCGACGGUGAGGGAUGAAAGCUGGGGGAGCAAACCAGGG
rnacentral:rRNA from 1 species